rnacentral:rRNA from 1 species
GACGAACCGUGCGAUCGUUGUUCGGAAUCACUGGGCUUAAAGGGCGCGUAGGCGGUUUACCAAGUCGGGGUUGAAAUCUUUCGGCUUAACCGGAAAAGUGGCUUCGAUACUGGUAGACUGGAGGGAGGUAGGGGCAGAUGGAACUUCCGGUGGAGCGGUGAAAUGUGUUGAUAUCGGAAGGAACGCCGGUGGCGAAAGCGCUCUGCUGGACCUCUCCUGACGCUGAGGCGCGAAAGCCAGGGGAGCAAACGGG